CUAGUCAAAGGAAGCCUCCCGGCUUCCAGAGCUGUCAGGGCUUGGCAGGAGCUGAGGUGAAGCCCUUUGGUGUUGAGCUGAAAGGAGGGAGGCAGGUGGUGGGGACUAUGCCGGUUGCUGUGACUUCUGUCUCCCCCUGGCAGAGCCCUCCGAUGGCUUCAGGAGGGGUUCAUGGAGGAAGCCGGCCUCAGUGCUUUGGGGCUCCAGUUCAGAGCUGAAUCAGAGCCAGGCUAAGAAGGAGGAGGGAUGCGGGUAGAAAAACAAACGCCAGAGAACAAACAGACAGAAGGAAGUCUUCAACUAGUCUUGGUGCAGGAGUGAUGAGUUGAAGUCCAGCAUAUUCUCAAAUCCACCUCAGAGUCGCUCACCUGGACUAUGCUACAACCUUUCCAGGAGGCUUACCCAGGAUUCGGUGCAUCUGCAACCAGUCAAGUUCUGUCUUUCGUCAUUAUGCUCAGAAACCGUGUUGUAUGCAAAGAAGACGUCAAUAAAUGUCAACCCACCUGCUGGGGAACCGAUGACAGAGCGAAGUGCAGAUGCCACGAGCAUCAGACUUAGUGAACCAGUGGUUUUUAUUUGGGUUAUUUAAAGGUGGCAAAAAGGAACUUUCCAUGGAGCAGGUGAGAGCUGAACCAUCUUAAGUUGGACAGACAUGAUAGAGGAACAUGUGGUGAGGGGAAAUACUAUCGCAAACUACUUAGCUACAAAGAGAAUAUCUGGUAGUGUGGUAGGGCUCAGAAAUGUAAGGGAACACCAUCUCCCUCCCAAGGUCCAGCUUCCACCCGUGCUCCCCCACCCCACUGGCUUCCCAUGUCCUGGAACAAUGAAGUCCAAAGGGGAUGCUCCUGGAAUCCCUUUACAAACUCUUUAGGUCUCUGGCUUUUCAGAGGAUAUGAAUUUGUUCAGCCCACAUCCAGUCCAAGAGUGAAGCUGAAGAGAGCUUUCCAGCUUUCCAGCAACUUGUGUUGCUUCCUACCUUGUCUCGAAUGGUCUCUUACAAAUUAAUCCUAAGAAAUGAGCAGGGAAGAUUUCCAGACACCGGGGAGCAGAGAGGACUGCCUGAAGGUUGUCCUUUCCAACUCCCACAGUUACAACCCCCACCCCCACCACUACCCUGACCUCUAGCUAUUCAGACUUUUUCUUUUAAGGUAGCUUCAGGCUCACAAGGGCUGGACCCACACAAGUAACAGAAGGUCCCCAAACAGCAGACAUGGGGGCUGUCGCUGAAUCUGUUGCCUUACUAAGGAUCCUGGUUCCCCAAGCUGGACUGCCUUGUCUGGCCUCAAUGGGAGAGGAUGUACCUAGCCCUGAAGAGGCUUGAUGUUCUUGGGGAGGGAGAGGACACCGGGGGAGCUUCCCCUUCUUAAGGGAGAAGGGAAGAGGGAAUGGUGGAAGGAUCUGUACGAGGGGGUACUGGGAGGAGAGAGGAGCAGUUAUAUUGGGUUGGAAAGUGAACGAAAGAAUACAUUUUUUUUUUAAAAAGACAGCUUCAGGCUCCUUGCUAGUCUUUUUUUGCUACCUGUUCAAACACAGGGGCAGCACUAGCUUGUAUUCAAACCUAAUUUUUUCCGCUUGGCUUUGUUUCCUUGUCACCAGGUGGAUGAAUGAUUCGGCUACCCGAAAAGCCAUCUUCUGAAGCCCUGCCUUUUUUAUGCACUACUGACGGCAAAUACUUCAAGAUUGAGUCAGAGCCGCAGUCUCUGUGGAGGUCGCCCGCCCUGGGCUGCCUUGUCUUCAACGGUGCCCUUGCCAGGCUGCUGAGGAAGCUCUUGCUCGGUAUGCUGGGAACACACUGCCUGUUGGAAGAACAUCCCAUUCAGGAGCUGCGGUCUGUGCCAAAGCUCGACAGUCCCCACAAAGGCGCACAGGGGAGACCCAGAGAAGGAAAUGAAGAACAAAAACCCAGAGCCUGGCUGACACACACUGCCCAGGAGCCUUCUGUUACAGCAUGCUGUCUUCUGGCAAACGGACAAACAGACACAGGGCCACACAAGAGGAAUACGUUUCAAUGAGGAAAACUUUGUGCCAGAUAAGAAAUGAGAUAGAAUAAUAAAACUGGACAGAGAUAGUCGAUGGAGUUAGGAAGUCAUAAAAUAUUUAUGGGGAAAUUCUUCGCUUGGGGUUAAGAGUCUGAAUCUCGAAGAAGCUUGGAGACAGGAUAGGGGGCGGGAUGGGGGAUGUUUACCGAGUUAAGACACGCUCCUUUGUUAGUUCCUCAGUGUGUAAGAGGAGGUUGAAGAGCGUUUGGCCUGAUGUGAGGGAAAAAGCUUCAGAGAAAAAAAAAAAAUGAGGCAGGCCGAGUCUUGUUGGUAGGACCAGGACGUGAGCAGAUGAAAAACCUAAUACAAUAGUCAUAAUGAAGAAAUCCUUUUCCAUAGUCAGAAGGACUGGGAAUGUGGCUACCUGAGCAUUUAGUCUCUGUGAAUGAGAGAGGAAUCCAAAGUGGAUUCUGGGCAAAACUUUAGGAGUUGAAAGAUACACGGCCUCAUCUCGUGAAUGUGGCACUCAAAGGAGCUGAGCAAACACAGGAAAAUCUUUUCUUCCUAUUGAUUCCAUUUCACAAUUACACAAUUGCCAACCGUGAAGUCAUAGAUUUUACAAGCUUUUCCACUUACAGGAAAAAAAUACUUGAGAGGAAUUUCUCUUCUUUCCUCCUAGAGACUUGAUUUUAAAAAAAAAAGUUAUUGAAUUUGCUCUUUGACAAUUUCAUACGCAUAUAAAUUAUAUUCUGAUUACUGUA